rnacentral:rRNA from 1 species
AGAGUUUGAUCCUGGCUCAGAACGAACGCUGGCGGCGUGGAUAAGACAUGCAAGUCGAACGGGAUAUUAUUUGUAGCAAUACAAAUGAUGUCCAGUGGCGUAAGGGUGCGUAACACGUGGGGAAUCUGCCGAGAAGUGGGGGAUAGCUCGUCGAAAGGCGAAUUAAUACCGCAUGUGGCUAGUGAAGACAUCUUCACAAUGCCAAAGCCGGGGCAACCUGGCGCUUCUUGAUGACCCCGCGGCCUAUCAGCUAGUUGGUGAGGUAACGGCUCACCAAGGCUAUGACGGGUAGCUGGUCUGAGAGGACGACCAGCCACACUGGAACUGAGACACGGUCCAGACACCUACGGGUGGCAGCAGUCGAGAAUUUUUCUCAAUGGGGGAAACCCUGAAGGAGCGACGCCGCGUGGAGGAUGAAGGUCUUCGGAUUGUAAACUCCUGUCAUUAGGGAACAAUUGUCAGCAAUUAACUACUGCGGACUUGAUAGUACCUGAAGAGGAAGAGACGGCUAACUCCGUGCCAGCAGCCGCGGUAAUACAGAGGUCUCAAGCGUUGUUCGGAUUCAUUGGGCGUAAAGGGUGCGUAGGUGGCGCCGUAAGUCAGGUGUGAAAUCUCGGGGCUCAACCCCGAAACUGCACUUGAUACUGCGGUGCUCGAGUACUGGAGAGGAGAUUGGAAUUUACGGUGUAGCAGUGAAAUGCGUAGAUAUCGUAAGGAAGACCAGUGGCGAAGGCGAAUCUCUGGACAGUUACUGACACUGAGGCACGAAGGCCAGGGGAGCAAACGGGAUUAGAUACCCUAGUAGUCC